rnacentral:rRNA from 1 species
GACGAACGCUGGCGGCGUGCCUAAUACAUGCAAGUCGAGCGAAGUUUUUCUGGUGCUUGCACUAGCAAGACUUAGCGGCGAACGGGUGAGUAACACGUAAAGAACCUGCCACAUAGACAGGGCCAACUAUUGGAAACGAUAGCUAAUACCGGAUAACAGUAUUUCUUGCAUGAGAGAUAUUUAAAAGUUGGUUAUGCUAACAAUAUGAGAUGGCUUUGCGGUGCAUUAGAUGGUUGGUGGGGUAAAGGGCUACCAGGGAGGCGAUCCGUAGGCGACCUGAGAGAGUGGUCGGCGACACUGGGAGUGAGACACGGCCCAGACGACUGCGAGAGGGAGCAGUAGGGAAUCUUCCGCAAUGGGCGAAAGCCUUGCGGAGCAACGGCGCGUGAGAGAAGAAGAAGUUGCGUUCGUAAAGCUCUGUUGUUAGGUAAGAAUCGCUAUGUAGUAACUAUACAUGUAAGAGACGGUACCUAAUCAGAAAGCCACGGCUAACUACGUG